rnacentral:rRNA from 1 species
UACGUAGGGUGCGAGCGUUGUCCGGAAUUAUUGGGCGUAAAGAGCUUGUAGGUGGUUUGUCGCGUCUGCUGUGAAAAUCCGAGGCUCACCCCCGGAAGUGCAUUGGAAACUGGUGGACUCGAGUCCCGGAGAGGAGAGUGGAAUUCCUGGUGUAGCGGUGAAAUGCGUAGAUAUCAGGAGGAACACCGGUGGCGAAGGCGGCUCUCUGGACGGUGACUGACGCUGAGACGCGAAAGCGUGGGGAGCAAACAGG